rnacentral:misc_RNA from 1 species
AACGCACAUUGCGCCCUUUGGUAUUCCGAAGGGCAUGCCUGUUCGAGCGUCAUUAUCACCCCUCAAGCCCCGUGCUUGGUGUUGGACGGGGUCGAGGGCUCACGCCCCGACCCCCCCUAACGAAAAUGACGGCGACCUGUGGUUCCCCCGGUACACUGAGCUUCUCACCGAGCACGUACCGGACAAGGGCGCCUAGGACCCGGUCAUCUCCUCUCACGAGGAAACAUUUUAUAAGGUUGACCUCGGAUCAGGUAGGAAUACGCGCUGAACUUAA